UACAUAAUUAGUAGGAUGGUCCCCCGGUCACAGGUUCCAAAAACCCAAUCACACUUAAAACUACAUAAUGAAAAAGAACUGCAGUCAGAAGAAAUGGCCCUGGAGAAGGCGAAAGAAACGGAGGCCGAAAUACCGGACACUCCAGAAAGUGAUAUAGACGUGGCAACUUUUAAAAUAAAAUAUUUAGGUAGCACAGUAGUAGAAAAAAUAUCUCCCGAAAAUGCAACCACCGAAUCGGUUAAAAACAUAAUGAAAGUUGCGAAGGCAGCUAAAAAGAAACUGCAAAGAGUAAAUCUGGCAGUAUCAGCAAAAGGAAUUGCAGUUACAGAUAAUCAAGGAAACUCAAUGUUCGAAAUCUCCAUCUACAGAAUCUCCAACUGUGCUACAGACAGUAAUUACAAACAAGUAUUUUCAUUUAUUUCCACGGAUCAUACGGAAACGAUGGAGUGCCACGCGUUUUGGUGUUCCAAAAGAAAAAUCGCAGAAAGUGUUGCCCUGUCAGUAGCCCGAGCCUUCAGUAAUGCCUACGAAAACUGGAGGAUGUUACCGUUAACUCAACAAAUCGAAAAGGCUGCUAUCGAAAACGCGGAGAAUUUGAAAAACAAGGCAAACGCCAUCAAGAUCGAAGACGUCAAAGAACCAUCGGAGGAUGGAAGUUGUAAAAACGAAUCAACUUCUUCGGUCGAAGAGAAGCUUAUCGAUUUCGAUGACGAUGAAGACGAUACAGAUUUUCAAAAUAUUACAUUCCCGCCACACAGAUUUGUAACAGAAGUUCCAGAAUCCAAUUUAAUCAGUCUUCAGAAUGGUUUGAUACCAAUGAAGACUGCAGUAGGAUGUACAGUGAAAAAUGAGUGGGUUUGCUUCGAGGACGAUUUCGAACCAAAGACCACUCAAUUUCCAAGCCAGCGCUGGAAUUCUAAUUCUAAUCAAAUUGACUUAGUUUUUGCGUAGUCAAUAUCUCUGCAUAGUUUUAAUAUUAUUUUAUUGAAAAAGAGUCCCCUAAGAAUGUUUUACCACGCACACAAAAAUGAUUAAUCUAUUUUUGUUCGUCUUAAAACCCCUUACUAUUCCCCCUUGUACGCCGCCUAUGGUAGCAAAAUUAAAUCAAAAAGCCACGUAUAAUCUAGCUUUAUAAAUAUAAAAUAUUAUGAUAUAUUAAUCUAUCGAAUAUUAACCUAGGUAUAAUAAAAUACUAUAACGUUUAAGUGUAUAAAAUUUAAAUCGAUAUAACUAUAUAAUAAUUGUGUAGCAAAUUUGUACUGUCCUUUAAAUUUAAGUAAAUGUUAAUGCAUUUUUUUAAACUACAAUAGAAAAUUGAAAACGAUUGUUCUAUUAAUAUUGAAAUUGUUAUUUGCAUCUUUUACUGUAAUGUCGUCUUCUUACAUACAAAUUAUGUGCAACUUUUUGUACCUUUAUGUUAUAAAUAAAUAUCUUUUAAUAGAAUGUUUACAACAAA